GCCUCAUUGGCUCAGUGGCAGAGCGUCUGUCUAGUAAACAGAAGCACAGGUAAAGCGCCACAGGUUAAUGGCAGCUGAAUGGCAGGUUAAAAGCCGCCAGCAGGUU
rnacentral:tRNA from 1 species